rnacentral:rRNA from 1 species
UACGAGGGGGGCAAGCGUUGUUCGGAAUUAUUGGGCGUAAAGGGUGCGUAGGUGGAAUGACAAGUCAGUGGUGAAAACCUGCAGCUUAACUGUAGAACUGCCAUUGAUACUGUUGUUCUUGAGUACAUUUGAUGUGAGCGGAAUGUGUCGUGUAGCGGUGAAAUGCUUAGAUAUGACACAGAACACCAAUUGCGAAGGCAGCUCACAAAACUGUAACUGACACUGAGGCACGAAAGCGUGGGGAUCAAACAGG